ncrna:unclassified sequences C4 antisense RNA
CUUUGCGGCGGUUAUGCGCGGGCACGCUUCGGCGUGGCUGAGUGCUCUGGUCUCAGUCCUCCUACCCCGCGCAUGGCUGCCACCCAA